rnacentral:lncRNA from 1 species
UCAUGUUAUUCGUGUCCAUUAUGAAGUUGACAAUCUGAAUAUAGAGGAGGAACAUGCAUCUCUUCCAGUGGCUGUAAAUUUUAAAAAAGAAAAUACCACUAACUAAAAAGGGUACUUGUAUAAAUGGGGACAUUGUUUUCCUGUUUUGUUUUUUCUUUUAUUAUUUUUAUCAUUGUUUUCAACCCACUCUAAUCAAACACUUCCAUAGAUCUCUCUAAAUCAUACAACACCCACAUAAAUCUAGUGGAACCCAUUUAAAUUUUAAUUAAUUAGAAAACGUUGGGAAGAGUUUUUGACAGUGUUAACAUAAGUAUCAUUUUUAUCCUGUUUCAUCCUUUGUCUUGUAUCCUAAACACUCUUCAAAUCAAACAUGUACCAAUAAAUUGAUUUUUUCAGCCUUACAUUUUUGCAUAUGAAACGGAUUCAAGUCAAAUAUACAUACUAAGAUCUUCCCGAAAUCUUCUAAGAUCUUCAGCAUGGCUCUAUGGUUACCACGGUAAGCACAUGAUAUUAACAUUAAAAAAAAGCUGUACAGAAAAAAUAAGGGUCAUCAAGCUUCUGAAUUACUAAGACCUACGUUGUAGUCACACCAGUUCACACAAAUGCAGUGAGAGAAUUUGACAACAGAGCUGUUGAUAGUGAAGGGUUCCGAGAGCCGAGAGGACCAGUUGGACGAUAUAAACACCUAAUAAUACAUAAACACCCACUUCAAAUCAAAACAUAAAAAGAAAAUAUACUUGUCCAAAAAUACAAUAAAAAAUAGAAUGUGUCAACAGUAUCAAGUAAUUUCAAUAUGUG